rnacentral:lncRNA from 1 species
CCUGAUAGCAAAGUUUUGCUAAGGUACUCUAACUCCUUGUGUAGUUCUUACUCUCGCGUUUGACCUUAAUCACGAGAAUAUAAAAUAAGACAUUGUCUCGAGGAAAAUUCUUAAUUAAUGAGAAAGCGUAAUUUAACUAUGCAUGAAUCUGGUAUGCAUGAACUAAUACUCUGAGCGAUAAUCGGGAAUUUUACUAUUAAUCCUCGUUAAUAGAUUUAGCUAAUUCUCGUCUAGCGCGGUCGAAUAAAACUGUGAUUCUUCCUUCCUCAUCGGAAUAUUCUAGUCGUGAAAUAAACCUCGCAUUUGUACUUGAUUGAAAAAGGACUAACUCGGCUUUAAACGAGGUGUGACCUUGUAGAAAUUAUCGGGCUUUUCGAUAGAAGCAUCAUUACUAGCGUAACCUCAAAUAAUUAAUAGGCUCAAAAGAGAGUAGCCAAUUAAUUAAAUAAACUAGUGGCUUAAAUGAAAUAAACAAUAAUGGCUUGCUUUAAAGUCGGAAGUCCAAAAACAUUAAUUAAUAAACUGGGCGGCUCAUUACUGAUAAAUAAUUGGGCUCCAUCAAAAAUUGAUACUGCUAGGCUUAGCUCAAAGGAGUAACUUCAGCUCAAGCUUUAAAAAAAUUAAAGCCCAACUUAAAAAGUCUUCGACCCAAAACAAUUAAAAUAGGGGUCCAAAUAAUAAUUAAUGUGGACUGAAAAGAAUUAAUCUUAGCCCAAAAAGGCAAUUUAAUCGGCCAAAAUGAUGAAUUAAACUGGCCCAACGAAAUAUAAAUGGGACUAGAAUAAUAGCCCAUCAUAAAAUAUGCAUAAGCCCAACUCCUUAAAUAAAUCAAGCCCAAUAGAAUUAAUGAGAAGGGCCAAUUAAAUAAAAGACUGGCCCAGUUCGAAUUUAAAUGAAAGCUCAAUCAAUUAAAUUGGAAGCUCAAUUCCUUUAGAAUAAAACAAACCCAAGCUCAAAUAAUUCAGCCCAAAUAAUAUAGAUAAAGGCCCAAUUCGAAUUUAGAUGUGAAGCCCAAGUCAUUAAAAAUAACAUCAAGCCCAGCUUAAAAUAAUUCGGCCCACAAUAAAUUAAAAGGAAAAGCCCAAUUUCCUUAAAAUAAACAAGCUCAAAUUCGGCCCAAACAAUAACUCAAGCCCAAUUCCUUCUCUAUCCACUCUCGUCCUCUCUCUCUUCAGGAGCCGCUCUCUCUCUCUUUCUUCUCUCAAAUUAUCGGCCCUGUUCUCUUUCUCUCUCUCUCGCUCAAAAUCCAAUCGAGCUCUCUCUCUCUCUCGAUUCACGGCUGCCUCGUGAGCUCCGCCGCUGCUCCUGCUGUGAAUCCGACAGUCGGCCGUCGGUUCCGGUCUCUCUCCCUCACGCUGAAGUUCCGCCGCCGCCUUGUGAAGGCCGGCGAGCGGCGCUGCUUCACUCCCUCUCUCACUUCACAUCUCUCAAGGAAAUUCUCGCCUGUUCUUCGAUCUGCUGUCGCCGCUGUCGCUUCUCCGAAAUCGGCGAGUGGAGGGGAAAGCUUGCUGUCGCACCUCCGUCUGGGAUCCGGCGAUUCAAACGGCGCCGGUCGUCGUCUGGGAGUGGCUGCUGCUUCGCCUGGAGUCGCCGCCGACUGCUGCUGUUUCGCCGGAGUCGCCGCCUUUCUUCUCCGUUCCGGCAGUAGGUGGUUCGCUGCCCCUUGGGCAGCCGGCCCCUCCCUUACUAAAAGCUAAGUUCCACUCUUCUAUUCUUCUCUAGUUCUAGUUGUUAAGGAGGGAGAUUCUCAAGCUUGUUGCUCUAGAGUGCAGUAAGGUGAAAAGCAUGAGUUUUUCUAUUGUUAUUCAUGUCAUGUGAAAUAUGAUUAUGCCUCUGAUAUGAAUGCGAACUGAAAGAUUAUUUGGGAUUAUGAAUUACCUCAAAUGUUUGAAUUGAUUGCUUGUUGUUGGAGGUUGAACGUAUUGUACAAUAACUGAAAUGAAUUGAAACUGCCAUUGCUUAACUAAUGAAGGAGACUUUGGCAGUAGUGGUAGAUUUAAGAAUAAACUCACCUUGAAGUUGCUUUGUUUGAUUGUUGAACUGAUUGCUAAAGCUGAAUAAUUGUAACUGGGAAGAUUACUGAAAUGAACGAUGGUUCUCGUUUAAUGCAGGUAAACUUCUCAAAGAAAAUGAAAUGAUUAGUUUUGUUGGCUGAAUUUAAAAAGCCAUGGAGGUGGUGGUUGGCUGUAAAGUUUAAAGGAAAGUGAGAUAGUGGUGGUGGUUGGCU